AACAAUAAUAUGUAUUGCUACUAGUGGCAACAGUUUGCCAGAAGUCGUUUCUGGUGAACACACGAGUUUCAAGACCAUUGAUGACCAAUCAACGGUACUAAAAACAUUUGUUGAAAAAUGGAAACUAAACUAUCUACAGUACCUACCAAAGUUGUCCGAUGGAUACCAAUCCCCUUCCUGUGGUGUUGCGAGGGGGAUGCAUCAACACCCUGCAAAUAUGUUUGCGGCGCUCCCACUCGAGAUAAAUGAGUGUAUCGUCUUCAAGAUUUGAUAAGCUGAAAAGAUGGACCAGGAAACGCUCUUGCUUUUGGACGACUCGACUAUAACCUGAAGUUAAAGAACAUACAAGCCUUACAUGCAUGUGUCUCCACAGAGUUGACUCUGUCUCUGUCCCGACAAUCACCAGCCAUGCCAUGCGUAGAACUGCCUAAUGUUCUUCUGAGUGUUCCCACUUGGAAUGCUUCCAGGUUCUAUUUGGAACACAAUCCUCCCUAUUGAUCUUGUCUCUCUGGCUAUGUUCUAUACCAGACGCCAUCACUAACACUGUGUGUGUGUGUGUUGAACGUCACUCUGGAUUAGAGCAUCUGCUAAAUGACUGAAAUGUCUACUAGCUGUGCUUAAGGAUUGUUUACAUGGAUGCUAUACAUUAUAUUUUUACAUUUAUUCCUCAAUGAACGUCGACAGGAGUAGAAAGUACUCAGAGAUGUUGAUGCUGGUUGUAGUUGAUUUUAAUUGUUAUAUUAUUUUUUCACUGUCUUACAUUUUUUUUUUUAUCAGCUGUGUUGCCCAGACAGGAUACAAUCUGAUCAAUGGUUGAAGACUGUAGAUUUUAAAAGCAAUGCAUGUGUGGAGAUUGUAUUCAUGGUAGAGCCUACAUGUGCAGCAUUUAUCGGAUAUUGCCUUUGAAAGCCGCAUUCUCUACCACCUGGGAUCGGAUAGGUUUCUAAAUGGAAUAUUGUAUUGGGAAUUAAUCUUUUUUUAAAAAGUUUUUACUGCGUUAGAAUGAAUUAUAAGUAUUCUGCUAUAAUUCACAUUUUAGCUGUAAUCAAAUAAAUCUUAUUUUACAUUUGAGGAACACAUUUUUGCAUUGUUAAUGAAUUAAUUAUUUUGAGGUUUAGUGAAAAUGAAAGGAACUGGUGUGAAUUUACUUUUGCAAGUUAUGCGCUAGUAGUUAUUUAAUUCCAGCCAGGAAUCUAUUUAUGGGUGUUAACAUCUCCUUCUUUCUAAUAAAAAAUAUGUAGAGUGAUUUAAACAGCACUACAAAUUAUUAUCUUCUAUGCAAAUGUAACUGUUCGAAAUGUAUUUUUCCAUAGACAUGUCUGCUGUUGGCUUAGAACUAGUUGAACCACCUAACAGACCUUUGAUGUGGCUGACAGUGUU